rnacentral:rRNA from 1 species
GACGAACGCUGGCGGCGUGCUUAACACAUGCAAGUCGAACGGAAAGGCCCUGCUUUUGUGGGGUGCUCGAGUGGCGAACGGGUGAGUAACACGUGAGUAACCUGCCCUUGACUUUGGGAUAACUUCAGGAAACUGGGGCUAAUACCAGAUAGGAGCGCCUGCUGCAUGGUGGGGGUUGGAAAGUUUCGGCGGUUGGGGAUGGACUCGCGGCUUAUCAGCUUGUUGGUGGGGUAGUGGCUUACCAAGGCUUUGACGGGUAGCCGGCCUGAGAGGGUGACCGGCCACAUUGGGACUGAGAUACGGCCCAGACUCCUACGGGAGGCAGCAGUGGGGAAUAUUGCACAAUGGGCGGAAGCCUGAUGCAGCAACGCCGCGUGCGGGAUGACGGCCUUCGGGUUGUAAACCGCUUUCGCCUGUGACGAAGCGUGAGUGACGGUAAUGGGUAAAGAAGCACCGGCUAACUACGUG